rnacentral:rRNA from 1 species
GUGGAUCCCUCGGCUCGUGGGUCGAUGAAAGACACAGCAAACUGUGUGUCGUCAUGUGAACUGCAGGACACAUGAGCAUCGACAUUUUGAACGCAAAUGGCGG